rnacentral:rRNA from 1 species
CACGUAGGGAGCAAGCGUUGUCCGGAUUUAUUGGGCGUAAAGAGCUCGUAGGCGGUUCGAUAAGUCAGGUGUGAAAACUCUGGGCUCAACUCAGAGACGGCACUUGAUACUGUCGUGACUUGAGUCUGGUAGGGGAGUGUGGAAUUCCCGGUGUAGCGGUGAAAUGCGCAGAUAUCGGGAGGAACACCAGUGGCGAAGGCGGCACUCUGGGCCAGUACUGACGCUGAGGAGCGAAAGCGUGGGGAGCGAACAGG